rnacentral:rRNA from 1 species
AGUGAACGCUGGCGGUAGGCCUAACACAUGCAAGUCGAGCGGCAGCACAGUAAGAGCUUGCUCUUACGGGUGGCGAGUGGCGGACGGGUGAGGAAUACAUCGGAAUCUACUUUUUCGUGGGGGAUAACGUAGGGAAACUUACGCUAAUACCGCAUACGACCUACGGGUGAAAGCAGGGGAUCUUCGGACCUUGCGCGAUUGAAUGAGCCGAUGUCGGAUUAGCUAGUUGGCGGGGUAAAGGCCCACCAAGGCGACGAUCCGUAGCUGGUCUGAGAGGAUGAUCAGCCACACUGGAACUGAGACACGGUCCAGACUCCUACGGGAGGCAGCAGUGGGGAAUAUUGGACAAUGGGCGCAAGCCUGAUCCAGCCAUACCGCGUGGGUGAAGAAGGCCUUCGGGUUGUAAAGCCCUUUUGUUGGGAAAGAAAAGCAGCAGGUUAACACCCCGCUGUUCUGACGGUACCCAAAGAAUAAGCACCGGCUAACUUCGUG